rnacentral:rRNA from 1 species
GAUCAUGGCUCAGACAACGCUGGCGGCAUGCCUAACACAUGCAAGUCGAACGAACCCUUCGGGGUUAGUGGCGCACGGGUGCGUAACGCGUGGGGAUCUGCCCAAAGGUUCGGAAUAACUCAGAGAAAUUUGAGCUAAUACCGGAUAAUGUCUUCGGCCAAAGAUUUAUUGCCUUUGGAUGAACCCGCGUAGGAUUAGCUUGUUGGUGGGGUAAAGGCCUACCAAGGCGACGANCCUUUAGCUGGUCUGAGAGGAUGAUCAGCCACACUGGGACUGAGACACGGCCCAGACUCCUACGGGAGGCAGCAGUGGGGAAUAUUGGACAAUGGGCGAAAGCCUGAUCCAGCAAUGCCGCGUGAGUGAUGAAGGCCUUAGGGUUGUAAAGACUCUUUUACCUAGGGAUGAUAAUGACAGUACCUGGAGAAUAAGCUCCGGCUAACUCCGUG